rnacentral:rRNA from 1 species
ACUCCUACGGGAGGCAGCAGUGGGGAAUAUUGCGCAAUGGGGGAAACCCUGACGCAGCAACGCCGCGUGUGUGAUGAAGGCCUUCGGGUCGUAAAGCACUGUGAGGUGGAACGAGCCGCCGGGGGCUAAUACCCUUCGGCCCGACGGUACCACCAGAGGAAGCACCGGCUAACCCUGUGCCAGCAGCCGCGGUAAUA